rnacentral:rRNA from 1 species
UACGUAGGGCGCAAGCGUUGUCCGGAAUUAUUGGGCGUAAAGAGCUCGUAGGCGGUUUGUCGCGUCUGCUGUGAAUCCCGAGGCUCAACCUCGGGCUUGCAGUGGGUACGGGCAGACUAGAGUGCGGUAGGGGAGACUGGAAUUCCUGGUGUAGCGGUGGAAUGCGCAGAUAUCAGGAGGAACACCGAUCGGCGAAGGCAGGUCUCUGGGCCGCAACUGACGCUGGAGG